ensembl:lncRNA
CUCAGAUAUUCAGUAAAGCUGCCUUAAAGCAAACACACAUAAUUACAGCUGAGAGCCCUGUAUUGGAGUGUGUGAUUGUAUAUUGCUUGUGUAGAGUGUCAAGCGUGCGUGCUGCACAUUGUGCCUGGAGAGAUUGAUGUUUUGUCAUCCACCUGCUUCUAAGCUGUAAAGGCAAGCGCAGCAAAGGCAAACCUACCCAGCUUCAAAAUCCAAACAAAGAAAUCUUAGUGGGCUGUUUACAUAUCUGUGGAAGGAUAUCUGGGCUUGUGUUGACGGGGUGCUAGAGUGGUUGAGAGAUCAGUCCCCGCACAAUGGACGAGUGGGAAAUCAAAGACUGGAAUGCUGGGGAAACUGACAGAGGGGUGAGCUCUGGAAAGGAGGACGGAUACUUCCUGUUCCUGCUGGAGUGACCCGCAGGUCUGAGGAGGAGUGAGGGAGAGGAAGGCAGAGAAAGCGAGUUUUCUUUGAAGUACCCUGUGAAACCUGCUGGUGUAAACAUACCUCUGAUUGGGACUCACUGAUGUAAUGGACAAACAAGCACAAAAUGUGUCGAUAUCCAGAUCAAAUCUCCCAGAAGCUCUAGUGGUGUUGGUUGUGUUCUGGAAGACCUGAGGGACACAACGGCUACCAUGCACAUCUGCAUCCUGUAUGUGGCUGAGGGGGGUUCCCAGCUGAACUUGGCUGAGGUCAGUGUCUGGUCAAAUGGAGUCGGGCCUGUGUGUCUGUGGGGGUGCAGAUGAAGUGGUCAGCGGUGUGACAGUUAGCGGGGAUUCUGACAGCCCCAGGUCCAGUGUGGAUUAGAGAGCCUCACGGAUUUAUGAAGAAUCCAGAAAUGUGUGUCAUCAUUAUGGAAAAAGGGCGACACAGAUCCACUGAUUGGUGGAGUUUGGAUCAGAGCACAGGAAGAAGUCAAGCUAAGCAGUCACGAGCAAGAGAACAUUCGGCUCUUCUCUCAUCCGCCACAUACUUGACCCACAGUAACUCCGCUUUGACAGAGCAUCACAGCUUUUCUGUCUUUGUUGAAGAAGGCUGACAGAAGCUCGCUUCUGGUUACGUUUUGCGAACUGUCACUCUUCCUGAAGAUAACACCCCUGCACAGAGGCUUGGAAAUGCCAAGGUGUCGAUGUGUGCGAUGCCAGGAAAGGUCAGGAGAUGAUUUACUGAACAUUUAUGGAGGCUUUAUCUUCAGUCCUUGUCACCAAGUCGGGCGAUGCUUCAUAGUGGGUCGCCAAACAUACGUGGAAAAAGAGAGAGCGGGACAACGCCACAACCCCUGAGUUCCGCAAUGACACAGUCUUUAACCAGUCCAACUCUUGGCAGGUACAGAAUACUAAAGGACCAUUUUAUUUCUAAAUGAGUCUGGAUGGCGCACCACAAAUACUGGAAAUGCUACUGCCCUUUCAUUUUAAAUGGCUAUCGGGUUCAUCCUACACAUAAAACCCAUCACAGAAAAUGAAUAUAAGCGGUAGGAGAAGAGACUGGAGAUGUGAACUGUCCCUCUGGAACGGGCUGCCAUUAAGUUUACUAAAAAUGUCUGAUGGUUUCACCCAGACAGUUAGGAGAGCUGUGUCUAAACGGGAUCCAGAUCUCUGCUUACUAAUUCCUGUGAUCCACCUGCUCUGAAGCCCAGUCGUUGUGGCCGAGUGUUCUGCACUACAGAUGGCGCUGGAUGAGGGAAGCUGGGUCAUGCUGAAGGACUGACCACAGUGCUUCAUCAUACCGAGGGAAAGUGACCCCAAAGGUCACAGCACACACACAGGCUUAAUUUUAGAGCAAUUAAUCUCCUCUCAAGAGAGUUUUAUGUGUGAGCAUGUGUGUGGGUGUGUCGCUGUGCUGUAGUUAGAGCCGGCCGUCAGCUGUCCGGCCAAGGUGGAGGCCCAACCAUCUUAUCGUCCAGGAGAAGCUUAAUAUGAGGAGAUUAGAUGGCACGGAGGAGAUUACUGCUUGGCCUUUAAUGCAUCGUUCUCUUACCUAACAGGAACCUGAUCUAAAUCCACCACAGGGUAACAAGGCCAUCACUCUGUCCAACAUACACAAGAGGACAUGUAACGUACACACACAUAGAUACACAACAGAUGAUGAGUGGGUGGCAAAAAAACAAACAAAAAAAAGCUCAGAUGAAACAGCAAUGGAAAUGAAAGAGGUGGAGCUUUCAGUGAGAGAGAGUGAAAGAGUGAGGUGGGAUGGAAGAGGUGUUCCCCAUAUAAAAGCCUCUUCACUGGUUUGGAAAAUUAGCUGGGCCCUGUGGUCUACUGGAGCCUUUUAUUUAUUGAUGUAAAGAAAGAUAACCACGCCACCUUCCGUAUUCGCUCCAUUUGCAUGAGCGAGGGAAGAUUAGGAGUGAAAAUCAAACCAAAUAAAUAAAUCCCUCUUUUUCCCUCUCUUCACCUCCCCUUCCCUUCCCAGAUACACACUCAUCCCUCUGCCAUAAUAAACGUUUUGCAAAAAGUCGCAACAAAGUUUAUUUUUCAGACAAUCACUGCCAGACUAUUCAGUGGAUGUAUGCUAUAUUAAUCUCAAAGCUCAAAGAACUUUGUUUAUUGGCUGCAAAGGUUGGAAAGUAAAAGCUGCCCAACGUAACCAUCAAAUUAAACUGGUAUAAACAACCGUGCUGUAAAUGCACGCUUGUAUAUGUGAGUGGUGUACAGUAUUUAAGAAUAGCAGUGUUUUAGCAGCUUAACAUCUUCUGCAGAAUUUUGAAAGUCACGUAUCCAUUCACGAGUCUCACACUGAUGUCUAAAUGGGGUCCAGUCUCAGAGAAGUGUAAAGCAGAAGGGAAUCUAAUCAGUUUUGCUUGCUCUGAAUGCCGGUUUGAAUGUGUUUGAGUAACAGUGCUAAAUCCACCUUCUAAUGUCUCUUCAUCACAUUGGUUUCUCACUUUCUCCUGAGCAGGAAACCAAUAAAUAUUUUAGCACUAACUGAAUUAAGAAUGCCCUUUAAAUUCCAAUUUAAUUCUGGAUUUGAAUUAAGGUAGCAAACAAGAUGCAAAAUUGCAAUUUCAAUUUGAAUAGAAGGCAGUAUAGAAUUAAAUGAAUUUAAGUUCAAAGAAAUUCUUGUUGCUAGUGUUAUUUAACAUUAUUUAUAUACAUAAUAUAAAUUGAGUUUAAUUUUAAUAUGUUGGUACUUAUUUCAUUUGACAGGGCAACAUUUGUAAUUUUUGUUAAAGAUUUGUUUUUUCAUAUAAUAUUUAUACUUUAUUGCAUUUCAACUAAACUUCAAAUAGGAAAAAAACUAUUCUAAUAUUGUAUUGGUGUAAUUUUUUACUAGAAAAUAAAAGUUUGCAAAGACACUUUAAAUAUUGGGUUGACAAAGCUGUUGUAAAGUUUAAAAAAUUCUAAAAAGCAUUGGAAUUUGAAGGCCUAAUAUAUAGAAUAGAUGGAAGGACAGAGAGCAUUUCCAAGAAUUUUGAUUGAUUGAUUGAUUGAUUGAUUGAUUGAUUGAUUGAUUGAUUGAUUGAUUGAUUGAUUGAUCAUUAAAUUCCUAUCAUUCCAUUUCAAAUUCCAUGUCAACUUUCUAUGGGGUUUGGCUAAUUUGAUUCAAAUUUAAUCUCAUGAAUUCUUUAAUUUUGUACAACCCUUACAUGGACAUCCAGAGAAGAGGGGCUUUAAAAAUUAGGCCACUAAUGCUUUCAUCCACCCUUAUGUGUGGAUGAAAAGAGGCUCUGAGUGUGUAUGUGUGUGCCGGGAUGCAAGAGUACACUGCUCCUCCUCCAGGAUUCCUCUUCGGGGCAGAAAAUGGGCAUGUGCUUGUGGUCCAGUGAAGCCCAGCCUGAGCUCAGCUCUUGCACCUCUGCCCCGCUCUGCCUCCAGAUGUGGCCUCAGCGGCUUUUUCUCGUGUGGAUUGAAUUCAGCAUUAUGUCUUUGCACAGUGUCCUCUUCUAUUUUCUCCUCUCCGUUCUUCUUUGCUGUCCUCUCCUCAUUGUUCUUUCAGCUCAUCCGGCUAAUGAACCAGUACAAGUACAAAGUACAUUUUAUAAGAGAGAUAGCCAAAUAUUCACAGGGGACAUAAAACCCCACAUAACAACAGCACAGAUGGAGCAGAAGCACAUGACACACAGCCCCCGUUCAGAAAAAAACAAAAAAAAUAUGAUGAUUGUCUAUAUCAAACAGCCUCUUUUUCUACCUACUAUUACUGUCUCUUUUUGUCUUCUCUUGUCCACCUGUGUCCCAGCAGCAAUUAAGGACCCUGGUGGAUCCAAUCAAGGAAUCACACGAAUGGCUGAAUAUGGUGGACUUGUGAAAGAUCAGGGCAUUCAGGCUGGUGACAUUCCUCCUGGCGAGCAGAUCCAUCCUGGGCCGGGGGUGAAAAAUGCAGCACCGCGCUACUGCUCAGCUGCAGAUGAAUGGAGCUAUCUGUCUUGUCACGAGGGGUCGGCUGGAGAGGUUACAGCCCAACUGUACCUGGUCUCUGAUGCUGAUGCCUGCACGCCGCUUCCCUUUACAAGAGAAGAAACAUAAAAACAGAAGAGAGGGAGAGACAGAGAGAGGGAGAAACAAAUCCUGCCCCAUCAAGCACUUCUUCAGUCCCUCCAGAGCCCAUCUCACUUCCCAUCAUCCCGAAGUCCUGCUGCCCUGAGCGCAGGCUUUGACACAUCUAUAUGUUUUUCCUUCUGACCUUUCAACGUCCUUUCUGUCAGUGCCUGUAAACCAUAAGCUGAUGUAUGAGGGCAAUUUUUAGCGGUGCCACUUGUAUCUGAGUGAUUGCGCACACUUUACAUUUGGGGGGUCUGCCACCCUGCCACCUCCUCAACAUCUCUUUAUUUGCUUUGCUUGAUAUUGAGGCAGAGAAACUGAGGGGAAGGAAUAAAAAGAGUGGAUGGGGAGGGGACGGUGGAGCCCAUUCAACCUCUGGGCAACAGGUCUGUACUUUAUCAGUCCAGCGAGCUGAGCCCUCAGGCCAGGCCUGACCAAUCACUCCUUGGAAACAGGUACUUGAACAAACAUCAACAUCAGUGAGACAGACUCCUGUACAAAGGGUUUCAGUGGAAUACUGACUUUCACUGGAAUUCUGAUCUCACAUAUUAAUGUCUAAUCCAAAUACCUGUCAUUUCAAACAGGGGGCCUAUUUUAAAAUAUUAUUUAAAACUAUACAAGUAUCCCAAUGAUACUAAAAUGACACUGAUACAAUGGCAAUAAAAAAGUGAGGAAACAACAUGACUUUAACUGAAUAAAAAAUUAUAUUUUUUUCUCAUACAUUAUAAAUGUAAUUAUAUAUGUAUUUUGAAGGGAGUCCCUCACAAGGGCAUCAUCAUAUUUGUGGGUCUUUGGUAUUAAAAACUUUAAAAACCUGCUCAAAUCUGAUUGAAUGAGUGUUGUAAGACUGUACAAUAUUUUGUCACACUUUACUUUAGUUCUCUUGUUUUAACAUUGAUCUGUAACACAGUAGCUUAAUCUGUCAUGUCUGUUAAUAAAUUUUGCCAUUGCUCUCAGAAAUGUUCAAAUUCUUAUGUGUCUACAAUCUCCAAGCAGUGUCUACCAUAAUCCAAAGAAUUAACGGUGCUGUUCAUGUCCUGUGGUAGAUGCUGCAGAAAACUUGUGUGCACAAGCAUCACAGUGUCCCAUUAUCCUCGGUGUUCGCCACUGACAACAUUUUCUGGUGACAUAUGUUUACUGUCACAUCCUGAACACUUGGGUCAGCUGCCUCUCUACUCUUCUCAUCACAAACUCUGACAGCCUAACAAAGCAGUCAUUAGACAGCCUCUCAGACACGACUAGCACACCCCCUUUGCUUUAGGGAAAACUAGCAUAAUGAAAUAAAAUGCAGAGAGGACUUAGCAUCCGCCCAAAACAAACACGCACGAAACAAAACCUCCCUCAUCUCUUUCAGAUUUUCUUUUUUCUUUCCCUCCUCUGGUUCUUGAUCUCCAUAUUUAGCAUUAUGACAUUUUAAUUUGUGCAUCUUCAAAAUAGCACUGUCAGUGGUAUAAAUAUGGAGUACCACUCCUGUGAGAAAAGCCUUUAUACUUUAGUAGGUUAAAACUAAUACAAACAAAACUGGAAUUAUUAAUUAUAAAAAAGGAGAGAGAGGGAAAGAGAGAGAACGAGAGAGACGAAAUCCCCAGAUUUCAAUAUUAUUUGCAUUUCGAUUUUGAGCCUGAUUUUGAGCAACUUGACUGUUUUCCCUCCUCUUGCUUUCUCUCUAAUAUCUUGCAGGAUCAAAGGCUUUCAUUAGGUUUAACUCCUCCAAGCAUUGUUUGCCUCCCAGGACUACAACACAGUUCCCUCAGUGUGCCAGAUUCAGAAGAAUAAAGAAUUAGUUAUUCCUGGACUAAUUUGACAUCAAACAGUGGAGAGGAAGAUAAAAGUGACAAUGGUGACCGGGGAACAUUGGCCAUGUGUUUCCACAGGCCCCCAGGGCAGUCAACCUCACACUCUCGCACCUAGAAAAUACCUUUUAGAUGAAGAUGAUGGCUAAUAAUAGUAAUAAUAAUAAUAUAUAUGUAAUAAUAAUAAUAAUUGUUAUUAUUCCUGGUUAUGUUCAUGAUUGGUUGGUGUUGAGUGUUUGCACAUGUUAGUGUGAGUCACUGAUGAAUUAGUGUGGCAUUUUGAGAAAAUCAAGAUAAUUCCUGUUAAAUUUUUGUGUGUUACAUAGAGAAUUGUGUAUUUUGUUUUGAAAAAAGUGUUUAAUGGAAUUGAAAACUGGGUCAAAAGCCAAUAAUUAGUGUAUGGCUUUACAGAUUUGGUGUGUGGUUCUGGUGUUUAAGUGUCAGGUUUCAUAAAUUGUGUGACAAGUAAAGAUUUUGUGUGUAAGCAAUUUAAAAAAGAAAGAAAGAAAGAAAAGAAAAAACCUGCAGUUCGUUAAUCUAGGGAUUUAUAUGUCUGUGUGUGUGUGUGUGUGUGUUUGUGUGUGUGUGUGUGUGUAUCUAUAUAUAUAUAUAUAUAUAUAUAUAUAUAUAUAUAUAUAUAUAUAUAUAUAUAUAUAUAUAUAUAUAUAUAUAUAUAUAUUGAUAGUAGUAGUAGUAAUAGCCAUUAACAGCCAUAUUUUCAGUCAAAGAAAUAUCUCACAUUUAUAGUUUAUUUCCAUCCUUUUUAAUAUUAAAUUCCCGCCAACUCCCAGAGAGUAAUGAAUUAAGAUAUCUUAUGUGUCCAGGAUAUACUGUGGAUAUCUCUGUGGAAUCGCACCUUUAUUACAGCUGGCUGGAUGAAAUCUUCAUUCAGCUCCCUUCAUUCACUUAGCUGCCAUUCUUACAGUUCUAUAAAAUAAUUAUAUUCUAGAAUUACAGGUUUUUAAUAUAAGGCAUAUGCAAUUACUCAUUGAGAUAAGUUGUCUUAAUAUGAUCUGUCUGCUUUGAAUAACUUGGUUUAUGCAUUUGAUCCUGCUGAUGAGUGUGUGUGUGUGUGUGUGUGUGUGUGUGUGUGUGUGUGUGUGUGUGUGUGUGUGUGUGUGUGUGUGUGUGUGUGUGUGUGUGUGUGUGUGUGUGUGUGUGUGUGUGUGUCUAAGGCCACAGCUGAGGAAGUAGAGCACAUGUUAACAGAGGUGUGUGUCCUGAGGAUAGUUUUUAGGACCCAGGUCUCCUUCAAACUCACCUCAGCCUUUACCUUCCUCUGAGCAAAACACACACACGAAACUGUAUACACACAGACACACGCACACAGG